rnacentral:lncRNA from 1 species
UUUUCCCCCAAAUCUUGAAACUGUGAAAGCUAAAGGAGUGAAAGGCGAUUGGGGCGAUUGGCGAAGCUGAAGGAAGGGACUGGCGAUUGGGCGAAUGUGAGCGUGAGGAGAUGAGGAGGAGGAGUCGUGAUUGCAGCGAACUCAAUGAUGGAAAUAAGAAAGGUAGUAAUGGUUUAUUAUCGUCUUCUUCUAGAGAGCCAAUUUGUGAUGAAAUGCUGGAAGAUUGGCUUGAUCCUCACAUUUUGACUCAAAUUCCGGAUCUUGGAGGUGAUUGGCUUGCUAAUAUUUGAAUAUAUCUAUUUUCUUAGCCAAAUAUAUGUGAUAAAAAGAACUUAACUAAUUUCUAACAUGUUGUGUAGUUAAAUAAGUGUGUACCAGUGGAUAUUCUUUGAAGAAAAAUGAUGACUGUUUGUCUUUGCUUUUUCUUGAAUUAAUUUUUUUUCUUAUCUCUACCAAUUUUACCUCAAUAUUUCAAAAUUAUUUCUUGUUUUGACACGGUGAAAAGUUAAGUUCAAUUCGUAAAAGGAUUUUGACAGAGAAUUCUAUAUACAAGAAAUUUAUCAUUGGCCACAAGAAAAGUGCAUUUUAUGGGGAAAAAACAUGAAAAAAUUGUAUUUUGAUUCUUUACUGAAAUAAGAUGAAAGCUAUAAAUGAUGUGAGUGUUGCAAAGGUUGUAUCGUACAAUUUUUUUUUUUUUUUAGCAUUUUGGGUUUUAUUGAAUUAUAUUUUCAUAUAUAUAUAAUUUUUACGUUUUAGUGCAUAUAUAUAUAUAUAUAUAUAUAUAUAUAUAUAUAUAUAUAUAUAUAUAUAUAUAUAUAUAUAUUGAAUAAUUUAAUAUUAUUUAAUCAAAUUUUAAUAAACGAUCGGCUAUUAUGAUCGUUGAUUGUUGACGGUCAACGACCAUCCUAGGUCGACUUCGGUGCUGGAUUCGCAACUGCUUAUACCACUGUAGUUUUCUAUCAUAACAAAGGAAUUAUUUUAUUUUAUUUUUAUUAAGGGUUAGGUUCAACGCUGGGCAAUUAGGUCUCAAUCACUAGAAGUUCUGGCGUAAUUUUUUUUUUCUUUCAAUUUUAGGUUCAACGCUGGGCAAUUGGGUCUCAAUCACUAGAAGUACUGGUGUCCUG